AAAUUUAGAAUCAAGUUCAAAACAAAAACUCUUUGGAAUUUUGAUUGUGAUUUUGCUUAAAAUUAGAGAUUACUUUGGGGAGAAUAGUGGUCUUUGCAAUUUUGAAUCUUCCUACCCAAGAACAUGAAAAACAGGAUGAAGUUGUCUAUUACGAUCCAUGUGAAAGUCCAGAGGAACUUAGUCAUUGACUGUGGUGGGGCUGCAGGACGAUAAGAAUUCAGAAGUGAAAGAACUCAGAAGGCAGUGCCAGCAGCUGGAGUCUGUUAAACGGGGCAGUCUGUGUCAAAAGAGCUUCUCUCCAGAGUAGAAAGGUAGGUACGCUCAGAGCGGCUUUCUUUUCUUUUCUCUUCCAGAGAUUUAUUCUUGUAUGAAGGAUAAAGAGGUAUUGAAAUAAGGUUUUUACCAACACAGUGA
rnacentral:lncRNA from 1 species